GCCCUACGGGGGCAGCAGUGGGGAAUAUUGGACAAUGGGCGAAAGCCUGAUCCAGCGACGCCGCGUGGGUGAAGAAGGCCUGCGGGUUGUAAAGCCCUUUCGGUGGGGAAGAAAAGCCUCGACCUAAUACGUCGGGGUCUUGACGUAACCCAAGAAAGAAGCACCGGCUAACUCUGUGCCAGCAGCCGCGGUAAUACAGAGGGUGCGAGCGUUAAUCGGAAUUACUGGGCGUAAAGCGCGCGUAGGCGGCUUUGCAAGUCGGGUGUGAAAUCCCCAGGCUUAACCUGGGAACUGCACUCGAGACUGCAUUGCUAGAGUAUGGGAGAGGGAAGUGGAAUUUCCGGUGUAGCGGUGAAAUGCGUAGAUAUCGGAAGGAACAUCAGUGGCGAAAGCGACUUCCUGGACCAAUACUGACGCUCAUGUGCGAAAGCGUGGGGAGCAAACAGGAUUAGAUACCCUAGUAGUCG
rnacentral:rRNA from 1 species